rnacentral:misc_RNA from 1 species
GCAGCAGCAGCAGCAGGAGCAGUGUUCAUGUUCCCCCCGUGAUGAUGGCCCGUGUCUGGCUGUGGUCCCAUCGCCCAGUAGCAGGGACGGGCGGCGCCCACACCCGCACUCCGGGCUGUUGAGCGGGGCGCAGCCACGCUGUCGGCAGGCCGCCCAGGCCCGCCCUGAGGACCGCCCGCAGCAGCAGCAACGCCCGCGACGCUGCUUCUGCUGCUGGUGGUUGAGGUGGUGGCGCUGGCUGUUUGUGGCCGCGCCCGCCCACCAGCACCAGCAGGACAUCCCUCAGCAGGCGGCCGCUGCCCACCAGCAGGAGGCGUCCGCCGCGGCGCAACACACGCGUCACAAGUACCUGCUGAAGCGGCCCUACGAAGCCCAUUUUGGGCGCGCCGCCCCAUCCGAAGGCGAGGAGUGCAGGAGCCAGGAUCAGGGCCAGGGCUGGGGCCAGGGCCAGCCCACUAUGGCGCACCUACAGCCCCAGACCUCCCCGCCAGCCCACUGCUUCGUAAAGCGCACUUUCCACAAGCCCGUCUACUGCCACCACUGUACGGACCUCCUCUGGGGCAUCAUCGGCCAGGGCUACACCUGCGAGGUGUGCAACUUCGUGGUUCAUGACAAGUGUAUGAAGACUGUUGUCUCGCCGUGUUCCAGUGUGGCCCCAACACUUAUCAAGACACCUGUCGCUCACUGUUGGUCGGAACCUCUACAUCUGCGACGACGACACUGCAAUGUUUGUCGUAAGAAACUGGACGACACUUGGGCCAUCAAGUGUGAGGUGUGCGAGUACAACGUGCACGUGGAGUGUGAGGACUUCACCGUGCCCAACUGUAAGGACUGUGCCACCUUCGUCCCGGAGAAGACCCUUCCACAGGUGGUCCAGCAGCACCACUGGCGGGAAGGUAACCUACCCCCCAACUCCAAGUGUUUGGUGGACAAGAAGACCUGCUGGACGGGGGAGUGUCUGGCGGGCAUGAGGUGUGAGUGGUGCGGCUACACCGUGCACGCUAUGUGUGCUGACAAGCUGCCGGCUGACUGUACCUUCGGCCUCCUCGAGCCCAUCAUGCUCCCGCCCACUGCAGUGAGUAUCCCGCGGACGGAGGUGCCAAUGGAAGCGAUCAUUGGCGUCCAGACCAGGAGGAAGGACACCCUAUCACCACGCAGCAUAUCAGAAGAGUUCACGAGCGGCGACUACAAGGUGCGGGACACAGAGGAGCCGGCCAGAGACCGCACCAAAGACAGAGAUGAGAAGGACGAAGAGGUGGUAAAGGUGUUUGAUGGGAACAGUUCGCUGCGACGUCGCAUGUUCCGGCUGGUGACGGUGUCGCGAGCGGCGAGCGUGUCGGAGUUCCUGACGGCGGCGAUGCGGGCGUUCCACGUGCCGCAGGAGAACACCAAGACCUACCUGACGGAUGCUUACUCCGCCGAGGAGACCGAGCUCACUGACCCGCUGCCGGUCACCAAGCUCACACGACGAGACGGCAAGAGGCCAGCAGUCUUCCUCAGAUACAGGGAGAAGGACAACGACGAAGGGUGUAUCCGGGUGUACCCGUCACGCCUGGGGGGCGCCGUGGUGAUGGACCAGACGGUGCUGCCCGUCACCUCCGCCACCUGCGUCACAGACAUCAUCGCCCACGCCCUCAACAAGUUCGGUCUCCCUCACAGCAAGCCCGAGGACUACCGCCUCGUCGAGGUCAUGCUUGAUAAGGGCGUGUCGGAGCGGGUGAUGGAGAGCACAGAGCGACCAUGGGACCUCCUGAAGGCGGUGGGGCGUGACAGCAUCCGUCAGAUGGAGAUGACUCGCUUCUACCUGCAGCUGGUGAAGGACCCCCACGGUCCCAGCAUCGCCCUCUUCGUCGGCAGCCUCCCGCCAAACCUCUCCCAGCGCCAAUAUGAGAACAUCCUGGCUGACAUCGUAGGCAAAGCCGGCUACAAGUACUCCAGCAUCGGCCCCAUCUACUACGAGUACGGCUCAAUGGUGAUUACUUACGAGGACUCGGAUCUGGCCGUCAGGGCAUUCUACACCCUUAGAGAGUCCUGCUACGACGACAAGAACCUGCUGGUGAUGUUGCUGCCCAACAUACAGCCUCAGAUGAUCCCUGAAGGAGUACAGCCUCUCCUCGUCUUCGUCAACGUCAAGUCUGGAGGCUGUCAGGGGCUCGAACUCAUCACCUCCUUCAGGAAGCUCCUCAACCCAUAUCAAGUCUUCGACCUCGACAAUGGCGGACCUCUGCCAGGACUGUACGUCUUCCGGCAAGUUAAGAACUACAAGAUCCUGGUGUGUGGAGGAGACGGCACCAUAGGCUGGGUGCUACAGUGCCUGGACAACGUGGGUCAGGACUCGGAGUGCCAGCACCCUGCCUGUGCCAUAGUGCCCCUGGGGACCGGAAACGACCUGGCCAGGGUCCUCCGGUGGGGUCCCGGCUACAAUGGCGGCGAAGACCCCAUCAAUCUCCUGAAGGACGUCAUCGACGCCGAGGACAUCCGCCUGGACCGUUGGACCGUGGUCUUCCACCAGGACGAGAAGGUCGAGGACAAGCAGACCCAGACCAACUCUACAGGAAUGUCACGUCGUGGAAUGUACAUUACCCAUGGCCAGGAUUCGAACCGGCGACGCUGUGUCUCGAAAGAACACGUCCACCACAGCAUCCACGCAGGCUCCACCAGCGAGGACAACACGCAGAUCUUCGUCAUGAACAACUACUUCGGCAUUGGCAUCGAGGCGGAGCUGUGCCUUGACUUCCACAACGCCAGAGAGGAGAACCCUAACAAGUUCAACAGCAGACUACACAACAAGGGCGUCUACGUAAAGAUGGGUCUGCGCAAGAUGGUGUCGAGGAAGCUGUGCAAGGACCUCCACAAGGAGAUACGGCUGGAGGUGGACGGGCGGACGGUGGAGCUGCCGCCGGUGGAAGGAGUCAUUAUCCUCAACAUCCUCUCCUGGGGGUCGGGUGCCAACCCCUGGGGCCCAGAGAAGGACGACCAGUUCAAUAAACCCAACCACUGGGACGGGCAUCUGGAGGUGGUGGGGGUGACAGGCAUCGUCCACCUGGGACAGAUCCAGUCCGGGCUCCGCUCGGCCAUCAGGAUAGCACAGGGAGGACACAUCCGCAUCAAGCUGAACUCUGAACUUCCGGUGCAAGUAGAUGGAGAACCAUGGAACCAGGCACCGGGGGAGGUGGUAGUGCUCAAGUCUGCCCUCAAGGCCAACAUGCUCAAGAAGACCUCCAAGUCUAAACUGAGGAGGCGCAAUACUGAGCCAUCCAUGGUGGUCAACGAGCAGGCUAAGCUGGAGCCCAUCAGACCAGACCCAUCCUCCUCCUCCCACCCUCUCUAGUGUCUCUCCCAUGCCCACCCUCCUCCCACACCUUCUCAUUCCUCUCCCAUUACCUUAUCCUACACCACCUUCCCUUCACCUUCUCCUGCACUUCCUCCCGGUCCCCUCUUCAACAGCAACAAUCGCAGCAUCAGGCGAGGCCGGGCUUGACUGGGUCUGGGGUGGCCAGUUAGCAGUCAGUCGGCUAUCACACCAACACUACAACUCCUGCCGCCACAACUUCAACCUCUGCCAUCGCCGCCACAUCCACCACCGUCGCCGCCACAUCCACCACCGUCGCCGCCACAUCCACCACCGUCGCCGCCACAUCCACCACCGUCGCCGCCACAUCCACCACCGUCGCCGCCACAUCCACCACCAACGCCGUCACAUCCACCACCGUCAUCGCUGCCACAUCCACCGCCAUCAACUAGGCCACAUCGAGAAGGAUUAACGUGAAAGGUGUGAGUGAUGAGUGAGACUCAUUUGAAGCAGUGUGGUGAGGUGAGGGCGUGGUGUGUGUGUUAGGGCGGCUUGUAGGCUGUGUGAAGGAGGCACGGAGCGAGUGUCGGCUCCCCCACCAUCACCUCACACACACUCUGCUCAUGGUUGUACACAAGGACGAGGAAGGGCCGCCAGUUACCCAUCUCAAACAGUGUAAUUAGUUAUCUCUCAAAGCAUUCCAUAGUGUAGUGGGAGCGAUUGGUGUCGAUCCUACCUUCCUCCAUAGUGUAGUGGGUCUCUGCCCUCCUGAGCUGUGUAGUAGGGCUGGGGGGGGGGUGCUCUGCCCUCCUCUGACAGUAUUGCGGAAUAUUUGGGUAAGGUUUAGUGUUUGAAGGCUAGCUAGCUGCCUUCAUUCAUAAUGAAGCAGGGGUGGGCAGAGCUUUGGUUAUACCAUGGUGCAGCCAGGUAGAGUCAGGCAGUGUCCUGUCUCCUACCAUGGUGCAGCCAGGUAGAGUCAGGCAGUGACCUGUCUCCUACCAUGGUACAGCCAGGUAGAGUCAGGCAGUGCCCUGUCUCCUACCAUGGUGCAGCCAGGUAGAGUCAGGCAGUGACCUGUCUCCUACCAUGGUGCAGCCAGGUAGAGUCAGGCAGUGCCCUGUCUCCUACCAUGGUGCAGCCAGGUAGAGUCAGGCAGUGCCCUGUCUCCUACCAUGGUGCAGCCAGGUAGAGUCAGGCAGUGACCUGUCUCCUACCAUGGUGCAGCCAGGUAGAGUCAGGCAGUGCCCUGUCUCCUACCAUGGUACAGCCAGGUAGAGUCAGGCAGUGACCUGUCUCCUACCAUGGUGCAGCCAGGUAGAGUCAGGCAGUGCCCUGUCUCCUACCAUGGUGCAGCCAGGUAGAGUCAGGCAGUGACCUGUCUCCUACCAUAUCACCCAAUGUUUCGGCCUGCAGAUAGGACCAAUGUAUGACUUAGUUUUGGCAAGAGACGGAUAUGAACACCAGAGCACGACCCACGCACCUUGUGUCAUGUUGGUGCGGCGUGUAUUAUGGCGUGAGACCAGUGCCGCCAUCCCUCGCUAUGGUUACUGCUGCUCUUGUUUCCACCACUCCCCCCACCCCCCUUGCUACUGCGUUAGUGCUACUCCCCCACCACUUGUGAUGCUCCCCAGGUGUGGAACGCCCCCACGUGUCACUCCACAAGGCUAAUAAACUCUUCAGGUGUGACUAACACCCCAGGUAUGGCCUCCAGGUGCGAAUCAUCUUUCCAGGCGUGACUGACGUCCAAAGAGUAAUUGUCGAACUCUGUGUAUUGUGUACACGGGGCACCUCUACAGCACUCACAUCCACAACGACCAAGGUCCUUCCACACCACCACCGGUUCUAGCAGGGUCCUCCACACCACCACCAGUGCUAGCAGGGACCUCCACACCACCACCGGUGCUAGCAGGGACCUCCACACCACCACCGGUGCUAGCAGGGACCUCCACACCACCACCGGUGCUAGCAGGGACCUCCACACCACCACCGGUUCUAGCAGGGUCCUCCACACCACCACCAGUGCUAGCAGGGACCUCCACACCACCACCGGUGCUAGCAGGGACCUCCACACCACUACCGGUGCUAGCAGGGACCUCCACACCACCACCAGUGCUAGCAGGGACCUCCACACCACCACCAGUGCUAGCAGGGACCUCCACACCACCACCAGUGCUAGCAGGGACCUCCACACCACCACCGGUG